CCUACGGGAGGCUGCAGUGAGGAAUAUUGGUCAAUGGGCGCGAGCCUGAACCAGCCAAGUAGCGUGAAGGAUGACUGCCCUACGGGUUGUAAACUUCUUUUAUAAAGGAAUAAAGUGAGGCACGUGUGCCUUUUUGUAUGUACUUUAUGAAUAAGGAUCGGCUAACUCCGUGCCAGCAGCCGCGGUAAUACGGAAGGUCCGGGCGUUAUCCGGAUUUAUUGGGUUUAAAGGGAGCGUAGGCCGGCUUUUAAGUCAGCUGUGAAAGUCCGCGGCUCAACCGUGGAAUUGCAGUUGAAACUGGAGGCCUUGAGUGCACACAGGGAUGCCGGAAUUCGUGGUGUAGCGGUGAAAUGCUUAGAUAUCACGAAGAACUCCGAUUGCGAAGGCAGCCUACUAAACUGCCACUGACAUUGAUGCUCGAAAGUGUGGGUAUCAAACAGGAUUAGAUACCCGAGUAGUC
rnacentral:rRNA from 1 species